rnacentral:rRNA from 1 species
ACGUAGGUGGCAAGCGUUAUCCGGAUUUACUGGGCGUAAAGGGUCCGUAGGUGGUUGGGCGGGUCUGGUGUGAAAGCGCUCGGCUUAACUGAGCGAGGCCACUGGAAACCGCCCGACUGGAGUCGCGCAGAGGGCACUGGAAUUCCCGGUGUAGUGGUGGAAUGCGUAGAGAUGUGGAGGAACACCGAUGGCGAAGGCAGCCCCCUGGGACAUGACUGACGCUCAGGUACGAAAGCGUGGGGAGCAAACAG